GGAAAACUGACAUCAUACACUAAGUUUAAUACUCAUCAAAAUGAAAUUUUCCAUGUCACUUUAGAUGGCAUUACUGAUAAGGAAUGAAGGCUGGGAACUUGAUUUAAUUUCAUUGAACUUACCGCUGAGAGAAUUAUAUAGCUCUAAUCUUUCCACCCCUGUUCCAGUGUCCUAGUCUACCACCUGCAGCAUCAUAAACAGAGGAAUCUUGGUGAAUGGGAGCCAUCUGCAACAUAACUCAUCUCUUCAAAGGGCAGCUGGAUUCAAGUGCUAUCAUGUCUUCCAAUGUGCAGUAUAUUUAAGUUAUUGUUUUUAAAUAAUCCUCUGUUUUCUCUUUUGUACAUUGGCAAAGACUUUAAAUAACUGAUGUCAAAAUCACUUGGUUCUUCUGCUUAUUGAAUUUCCAGAGACGUUAAAUAUGAAAAUCUGCAUCUAUGGUGCAGUGUUUGUAUGUGAAAUAAGGUAAUUCAAUCAUGCUUCUGUAUAAACAGCAAUGGUCCAUUUAUGACAACAAUUCUGAAUACAUUAUACAAAAAUUAACUUCAAUAUUUUUGGUAUUAUACUUAGCUCCUCAAGGAUAAACAAAACGUCAUGCCACUGAUGCUGAUGCCCUAAUUCUUACUUUACCUGGUGUGCAUAAAAAGUAUACACUUAGUAGGGGAGCACAAACAGUGGUAAUGGUACAAAGAUUUCUUAUUUCAAUAUUUACCUUUUGUGGAUAGAUUUAGGAAUUUUCCCUUCCUUUUAAAUGAGAAGCAAAGGUAAGCUGGCUACAGUAGGGUAAUACAAACGUUAAAAUUAUUGUGAAUGCUAUGCCAUAUGGUGCUUAGAUAAUGGUAGAAAUAGGUUUUUGAUCAGCAGAUACAUUCUCAUUAGAAUCUCACCGUUUUUAGCACAGAACAGAUGAAUUUUCUUUGGAGCAGUUUGUUCUAAGGAUGGCUUUCUUGGCUGUGAUAGCAGGUUUUAGAGUUUCAUGAAUUGUUGCUAUGGCAGUAUGAAUUGAAUAAAAUGUCUAUUGUAUUUUCCAAGAUGCAUGCCUCCUAACAUUUAAAGGCAUCUUAGUCUAUAUCACAUUUAUAUAGUCUAUAUCACAAAUUAAUGCAAACAGUCAAAGACAAGGCUGACUUCUUUUAAGGUCAUUCAUAUACAUCUUCACAUUACCUUUGUGUAUGGUGAGAGAUAACCUCCACAUUUUCAGGUUAUUAAUGAUUCUUACGGCUGAGGCCUGGGAAGAAGAAUGAUGCUAGUCAGUGCCUCAUCAUAACCAUGUAAUGAUUUACAGGUCUACACUGACUAUUAGACCUUAGAAGUAAGAUUAAUAUGAGAAAAAUAAUGUAAAGAAUAAUGAAAUAAGUUUAGAUACAUAGUUGACUAGAAUCUCAUGCAAAUUUGCAAAUAUAAAAUAGAACUCUGUUUGUCUGUAUUGUUUGAUUUUAAUUCUUUACUUUUUAUGUAAAUAAACAGAACUAAUUUUAUAAUAGCUUUGAUUGAACUAAGCAGUUAUUAACAUAAAUAGAAAAGAAGAACAUUUAAAUGGCUAUGCUAAGAGAAUAGAGAAGCUUCAUUACUGAAAGUUUGAUAAUGAUUUUUUUUAAACUUCUAAUCCUUAGUUAUAAUCCCAUGUUUGUUUGUUUUAAGUGACUCUAAGUUUAAGAUAACCCUGUUACAGAGCAUAUUUAAGUCUGCUGAAAUAUAAAUGUGUUCUUUUUUAUUCCAUUAGAUACAAACUCAUCAUAGAGAAAAGGAACAGAUGCUUUCAACCUGCACCGAGCUGGCAUGCUUUAAGAAACCUGGCCAUAUGGCGAAAAGACUUGUAGGUUCUCCAGUUAACAGCCCAAUUUGAGCAACUAGUCAAUAGCCAAUAUCAACAAUCAACCAUGUGAAUAAGCUAUCCGAAUCCAACUGAGUCUUCAUAUUGUAGUCUCAGCUACAAUUUGACUGCAAUUGAAUGAGAGACCUCUUCCAGGAAUCCAGCUGAACCCAGUCAAUCACAAAACCCUGAAAAAUAAUAAUAAUUAUUUGUUGAAGGAUUUAGGGUGGUUGCUAUCAAACAAUUAUUGUUCGUGACAUUGGGAUAGGUUUGAGAUAAUAGGUAAUACUAAAUUAAUAAAAUGUACACAAUUUAAAAUGCUUAAUUGUUGAUUUUUAAAAACUGGCUUAUCAGUAUACUUAUAAACUACUUCUAAUAAAACUAUUUUCAAUUUUUUUCUAAAACAUUUGAAAGUACAUAUAUCAU
rnacentral:lncRNA from 10 species